GAACCCUGGAGGAAGCAGGUUAUCUAGACCAGGGUUUCUCAACCAGGGUUCCAUGGAACCCUAGGGUUCCGUGAGAGGUCACUAAGAGUUCCCUGGGAGAUCACAAUUUAUUCAAAAAAUUAUUUCGAAUUCAGGCAACUUCACCUUAAAGAGUAGGUGGAAGCACCUGGCCAACCAUGGCUGAUCUAAAGCAGAUUGGAUCUAGUUUGUACUUGGAAGGGAAAUUACCAGAAAAUGAGAAAAAAACAUCCUGGAAGAAGGCAGUGGCAAACCGCUACCAUAUCAUGCCAUGAAAACAGUACAGAUGUGUCUACGCAGAAGUUGCUGGACAUGAAGUUGGAAAUGAAUGGGACUUUCCAUCAUCCCUCACUUCAACCUCAGAUUUCAGCUGGAACUUGCAGGAAGUUGGAUUUUGCAGGUAACAAAAUUGGCACAGAGGUAACGAGAAUAGUGGUCUCCAAUGUGUACAGGGGUGUGUAAAAUGAUUCACUUGGGUGCAGGAAGAAAAUAUCAGAACAUCUAUUGAUAUUUAUCUUAUCCUUUACCACCUCCUUUUUAUUUUUGAUUUUGGAGUAUGUUUUAUAAUAUACAGUUAUACAUGCAUAUACUAUAUACUGUAUAUACAUAUACAUAUAUACAUACAGUAUAUAUAUAUGGGGUGCACACUCAUAUACUUGUGGAUAAGCCCAUCCACGGAUAAGCCGAACCCAAUUUUGGGGGUGUAUUUUGGCAAUUCUUGGCAAGACGCUAAGCAUAAGACAUAUAAGAAAUUGAUAACAGCAAUAGUUGCUCAAAGUAAAACAAAAGUUGGUGGCUUGCCAAGAAGCUCUGGACUGGAUCCAAGAUCAGGCAUAUUUGGACCAUAAACUGUAGUAGAUCUCAUGGUAACAUGCUUUCAGGAGCUAUUUCAGUCAGAUCAUACUGUUUGGAUUCAUGAAAUUUACUUCAAGGUGUAAGUCUUCACAAUCUCUCAACCCUUGUGAAUUUCUUCACAAGUUUGAAUGUGAUAAAAUAUUAGAAACAGUGAGGAAUGCAAAAGUUCUGGAAUAUAAGGGGAGGGGGGAAUCUCAUGCUGUAUCCAGAGUUGCUCUCAGAUAUUAUAAAGAAACAUAAAGAGUUCCAAGCAGCAUGUCCCAAGGCCAGAAAUCAGGGAGCAAAAGUCGUAUUAUUAUUAUUAUCAUGCAAACUUUGGCUCAUUCCUGGAUACUGGCUACAUUUAGAAAGUAUAGUCCAUCCAUUUUGUCUUGUAUAUUCCUUUUUUCAUUUUGCAGUUUAGAAUCAUAAUACAAAGAUGGAAGAUAAUGUAGAGUUCAUCUAGUCGAAACACCUGCUCAGUGCAGGAGCAUCUCUAACCGAUGGGCAUCCAGCCCCGGUGUGAAGACCUCUUUGCACAGAACUUACCACUUCAUGUGAUAAUUUGUUCCUCUAGCCUGAACCUCUUUCCUUGUAUUUUUAACAUGUUGGCUUGUUAACUUAGUUAGCUAGUUAAAAGGACAUUGGUUAUUCUCCACUAUGGUCUCAGCUGGAGAGUUACUACUUGUUAAGUUCUUGGAUUUAAUCACAGUGAGAAUGUGGGUGUUUUUUUCCACCACUGAAGUUGGUUAGACACUUUUGGAUCUUAUUGGGGGAAAAAUUAAAAUCUGACAUGAAUUCUCAAUACUGUGGAAUAAUCCCUGUUUUAAAAUGGCCUGAAAAAUUUGCUGCUGUUGUUUUUAGAAUUUUAGCAAAACCAGAUUAACACUUUCAAGCAGAUAAUAACUAAUUACAUCUUUAAAACCUCUGAAGCAUUACAAAAAGGAUGUAACUUAACUACAAUAACCAAAUGGUAACAGAGAGAGCUGGAAAACUGGUUUCACAGUUGGAAGCUUCUGAAUUUUUGGAAGCAUUGGUUGUACUGGAAAAGGCUUUUAUAGAGACCAUAGGUAAAGGUAAAGGUUUCCCUUGACGUAAAGUCCAGUCGUGUCCGACUCUAGGGGGCGGUGCUCAUCUCCGUUUCUAAGCCUUAGAGCCGGCGUUGUCCGUAGACACUUCCGGGUCAUGUGGCCAGCAUGACGACUUGGAACGCCGUUACCUUCCCGCCGAAGCGGUACCUAUUGAUCUACUCACAUUUGCAUGUUUUCGAACUGCUAGGUGAGCAGGAGCUGGGACUAGCAACGGGAGCUCACCCCGCCACGCGGUUUUGAACCGCCGACCUUCCGAUCGACAGCUCAGCGGUUUAACCCGCAGCGCCACUGCGUCCCUCAUAGAGACCAUACUAACCAAUUUUUAUCAUUUCUUUUAAAUUACAAAAUAAAUUUGGUUCAUAUACAAGUUAUAUGGGAUACAGAACUGGAAUACCUUAUACUGCAAAAUCAAUGGCUUCGGGUAUUAAGAAAUCUUACACGUAAUGUGCCAUAAAUAGGCUCUGGGGCACAAGCUAUGCAUCUGUAGAUUAGAGACUGAGUCCUCCAGCAAUAGGUACUAGGACGUCCCUCAGAAAAAACAGAAAAGUUAAAAAAAUAGUGCUUGGAGAUGUAAUGGGGCAAUGGGCAAGUGGAAUUAUUUAGUUUCAUGUAGUAAAAGCAUUGUAUUAAAUACAAAGCAAGAUUGUUUGCUAUGCUGUAUUUCAUCAUUUCCACCAUUAGAAAAGAAGGAGUGCU